UUCUUAUCCAGAGAGGUGGAGGGACUGGCCUUAUGAAACCUCAGCAACAGGUCUGCUUAAGUAGACACUGUGCUAAUUCCAGCGGGUGAUAAUCCUGAUAGAUGAGAG
rfam:Bacillus cereus Rock4-18 chromosome, whole genome shotgun sequence.